AUGAGGAGCAGCGAGGCCAUGGAGCUCCUAGGCUUCGCUCCCUACUCCCGCCCGUCCCCUUCCGAGGUGAAGGCUGCGUAUAGAAGAAUGGUCAUGGAGUCCCAUCCCGAUCGUGUCCCGACGCAUGAGAAGCCUCAAGCGGAGUCAAAAUUCAAGCAGAUAGUAGAAGCAUAUUCUUGUUUGAAGGAUGGUCGAAGAUUUGGGAACAGAAUGGAAGUACAUGUAAUGAGGUCUGGCGUUCCAACGGGAUACGGAAGAUCAAACAAGACGUUGGUUAAAGCCCCCUUUCUGCUCAUAAUUUGUGCCGCAGUUUCUUUUGGUUCCUACAGCGCUUCGAGGGCAUACCAGCGGCAAAAGGAAGUGUGUUCCUCUCAGAACCCUUUUCUUCCAUAG
rnacentral:rRNA from 1 species